rnacentral:rRNA from 1 species
UACAGAGGUCCCAAGCGUUGUUCGGAUUUACUGGGCGUAAAGGGCGCGUAGGCGGCCACCGCAAGUCAGUUGUGAAAUCUCUGGGCUUAACCCAGAAAGGUCAACUGAUACUGCGGGGCUAGAGUGCAGAAGGGGCAACUGGAAUUCUCGGUGUAGCGGUGAAAUGCGUAGAUAUCGAGAGGAACACCUGCGGCGAAGGCGGGUUGCUGGGCUGACACUGACGCUGAGGCGCGAAAGCUAGGGGAGCGAACGGG